GACGAACGCUGGCGGCGUGCUUAACACAUGCAAGUCGAACGGAGUGCCCUUGAAAGAGGCUUCGGCCAAUGGAUGGGAACACUUAGUGGCGGACUGGUGAGUAACGCGUGAGGAACCUGCCUUUCAGAGGGGGACAACAGUUGGAAACGACUGCUAAUACCGCAUGACACAUCGAGGGGGCAUCCCUUUGAUGUCAAAGAUUUUAUCGCUUGAAGAUGGACUCGCGUCCGAUUAGCCAGUUGGCGGGGUAACGGCCCACCAAAGCGACGAUCGGUAGCCGGACUGAGAGGUUGAACGGCCACAUUGGGACUGAGACACGGCCCAG
rnacentral:rRNA from 1 species